CAGGGGGUCUGUCAGAGCUUGACAAUGCAGACCAGGAGGGUAAAAUUCCCCAUUGUGCAGUUAGUGGCAGCGCUUGUUAAAGUAGAGUGACUGCCAGAUUGUGUCGCGCCAACUUUCCAGCUCAUGGGAUAUGGUGAACGAGUUUUUAUCUCCCCCAAACAGACACAUCCGACUGCCUCCUGAGGGCUUUUAUGAAGAGAAUGUGAGUCAGUGGGGAAGACGGCCUCAGGCAAGCGUUUGGGCAAUGGUGUCCUGGUGACAGACCCCUCUCUCCUGUGGAAUGAAGCUUGUCAGAAGACAUCAGUGUGAUUCUCCUC